rnacentral:rRNA from 1 species
GACGAACGCUGGCGGCGUGCUUAACACAUGCAAGUCGAGCGGUAAGGCCCUUUCGGGGGUACGACGAGCGGCGAACGGGUGAGUAACACGUGGGUGACCUGCCCUCAGCUCUGGGAUAAGCCUGGGGAAACGUAGGGUCUAAUAACUGGAUAUGACUCCACGGUGCAUGUCGUGGGGUGGAAAGCCUUGUGCGGCUGAGGAUGGGCCCGCGGCCUAUCAGCUUGUUGGUGGGGGUGAGGCCUACCAAGGCGACGACGGGUAGCCGGCCUGAGAGGGCGACCGGCCACACUGGGACUGAGACACGGCCCAGACUCCUACGGGAGGCAGCAGUGGGGAAUCUUGCGCAAUGGGCGAAAGCCUGACGCAGCGACGCCGCGUGAGGGAUGACGGCC